rnacentral:tRNA from 1 species
GCUCUUGUAGCUCAGUGGUAGAGCGCUUGCCUAGUAAGCAAGAGGUCCAGUGUUCAAGUCACUGCUGGAGCA